rnacentral:misc_RNA from 1 species
GUGAUGUUUCCUUCCGCAGUGUACGCUUAUUGAAGCCUUUGCAGCCACGCAAGUGGUAGACCCGGACGACUUUCCAAUAAACAAACCGGCGUCGCGAUGCAAGUCAGCCUCCGGGCUGGCGACACUUUCGAAUUGGCGGGGACACCCUAAAGCCGAUCGCACCAACCCGGUGGGGGAAACCUCCCGGGGGCCCGUGUUAACCGCACGGGGGAUGGUAACAGACGAUCCGGAUAGUCCUGCCCGCGUGGCAGGGAGCAUGGGUAAUCCGCAGCGAAGCCCCUACGUCCCCCUCUCGGGGGGAUACGGGGAACGUUCACAGACUAAGUGGAAGUGGGUGGGGGCCUCCGGGUCCCCGCUUAAGAUAUAGUCGGGCCCCCUGGGAGACCAGGGGGGGCAAGUACACUGCACUGCCCUCGAAACCGUUCCGUAGGUGAACCUGCGGAAGGAUCAUUACCGAGUGCGGGCCCUCUGGGUCCAACCUCCCACCCGUGUUUAUCGUACCUUGUUGCUUCGGCGGGCCCGCCGUCAGGCCGCCGGGGGGCGUCUCGCCCCCGGGCCCGCGCCCGCCGAAGACACCAUCGAACGCUGUCUGAAGGUUGCCGUCUGAGUCGAUUAUCAAAUCGUUAAAACUUUCAACAACGGAUCUCUUGGUUCCGGCA